rnacentral:rRNA from 1 species
ACACUCCUGCGGGAGGCAGCAGUGGGGAAUAUUGGACAAUGGGCGCAAGCCUGAUCCAGCCAUGCCGCGUGAGUGAUGAAGGCCCUAGGGUUGUAAAGCUCUUUCACCGGUGAAGAUAAUGACGGUAACCGGAGAAGAAGCCCCGGCUAACUUCGUGCCAGCAGCCGCGGUAAUACGAAGGGGGCUAGCGUUGUUCGGAUUUACUGGGCGUAAAGCGCACGUAGGCGGACUAUUAAGUCAGGGGUGAAAUCCCGGGGCUCAACCCCGGAACUGCCUUUGAUACUGGUUGUCUUGAGUUCGAGAGAGGUGAGUGGAAUUCCGAGUGUAGAGGUGAAAUUCGUAGAUAUUCGGAGGAACACCAGUGGCGAGGGCGGCUCACUGGCUCGAUACUGACGCUGAGGUGCGAAAGCGUGGGGAGCAAACAGGAUUAGAUACCCGUGUAGUCC